GCUACUUUGGUGGCCUGAAAUCUGGUGGCAAUGCUUAUGUGAUUGGAGAUCCAGCCAAGCCAGGCCAGAAGUGGCACAUCUAUUAUGCCACUGAGCAACCUGAGAAACCUAUGGUCACACUGGAGAUGUGCAUGACUGGGCUGGACAAGAAGAAAGCCUCUGUCUUCUUCAAGACUUCUGCUGAUGGACACAUCUCAUGUGCUAAGGAGAUGACAAAGGUCUCUGGUAUCUCUGAAAUCAUCCCGGAGAUGGAGGUCUGUGACUUCGACUUUGAGCCCUGCGGCUACUCCAUGAACGCCAUCCAUGGAUCUGCGUUCUCUACAAUCCAUGUGACCCCUGAGGACGGCUUCAGCUAUGCCAGCUACGAAGUCAUGGGCAUCGACGCUUCUGCCCUUGCCUAUGGCGACCUUGUCAAGAGGGUCCUCAGGUGCUUUGGCCCAUCAGAGUUCUCUGUUGCUGUCACCAUCUUUGGUGGACGUGGCCAUGCUGCUACAUGGGGGAAGAAGC
rnacentral:lncRNA from 1 species